GUGGGGAAUCUUCCGCAAUGGACGAAAGUCUGACGGAGCGACGCCGCGUGAGUGAAGAAGGCCUUCGGGUCGUAAAGCUCUGUCAUCAGGGACGAACGGCCGGUGGAGUGGAAAGCCACCGGAUUGACGGUACCUGAGAAGGAAGCCACGGCUAACUACGUGCCAGCAGCCGCGGUAAUACGUAGGUGGCAAGCGUUGUCAGGAAUUAUUGGGCGUAAAGCGCGCGCAGGUGGGAUCUUAAGUCCAUUUUUAAAGUUCGGAGCUCAACUCCGUGAUGGGAUGGAAACUGGGAUUCUUGAGUACCGGAGAGGAAAGCGGAAUUCCCCGUGUAGCGGUGAAAUGCGUAGAUAUGGGGAGGAACACCAGUGGCGAAGGCGGCUUUCUGGACGGUGUCUGACACUGAGGCGCGAAAGCCAGGGGAGCGAACGGGAUUAGAAACCCUUGUAGUCC
rnacentral:rRNA from 1 species